AUGGUGCCUUGUCUGUUUGCAGCUGCCUCUUCCCCCCAUCAUGAAUUCCAGCCCCUGCCCGCUGGGCUUUCUGUCGGGCGCUUUCCUUUAGAGCACUUGCGAGAGUGUCUCCAUGCCGGGCUGGUCAGGAGGGCCAGCAGUGAGGGAAGAAAGGCCCUGCUGCCUUCUCACUGGGCCAAACGGGGUGCUUGGGGGCUCCUCUGCACCGCUCCAGCACAGCAGCACACAGCAGCACAGGAGCCCACCACAGGAUCCCCACUCCCCCACCCCCACGGCGGGAAUCAAGCCCAUUCCCUUACCAGGUACCGUGCCUCCAUUCCCUGCGUGAUCAUCGUCCCUUCUGGUGAGCACACUCCAGUCUUCACCUGGCUAACCACAGUUCUUGGCUUAGAUGUCACUCCUUCUAUGAGCCUGGGGGAUCCCUACUUGUCCCUCUCCAACCCUGGCCUCACUGCGCACAGGGGUCUGUUAGCUGCCCCUCCUAGACGCCAGCAGCUGGACCCCAUGGGCAAGGCAGUGACAGGGGCAGGGGGCGGGAGCUGGUCCUUCUGCUUCCAGUGGUCCAUAGGCCACGAAUGACUCCCUCUGCAUGGGGAACCUGGCCUCUCACCCCCCUCACCAGCAGUGCCAGCUACCCUGGGGUGUGCUGGUGACCUCUCUCCACUUUCACCUCAGGGCCUGGGAAGGAAACAGGACACCCACAGUUAAUAAGCACCUGUCCUGAGCUUUCAGUUAGUUUCACUCCACUCUUCCCUCCAUCCAAGGCCACAUGGGGACCUUGCAUCUGAACUAGGCUCACCCACUCGGCCCCGAGUCUGCAGCCUGAUUGCUGACACCUCUGUUGGCCACACUCCAGGGUUUAGUGACCUGUGCCUGUCUUGGUUACAGACGGGGGCUGCUCCCUGGGGCAGUGCCUUGUAUCUGGCGGGUUUCAGGAUUUCAGAUGAUGCUCAGCAGGACCCACAACAGAAGGGACAGGUGGAUCCAUGAUGUGCAAAGCGACAGGGAAUUUGAGUUCUCUUCGGGAGGCAAAGCUUCGGACAGUUCAGCAGAUGGAAUUCCCGGAGCCUGGUACCAGACACGGAGCCGUGCGCGGGGCCCAUCACGCCCUCCUCCUGACCACUGGCACUCUGGCUGGGGGCAGAGGCCAGGGGCCAGCGCUUGGGCCCCUCUCAGCUGUGUGGUCUGGAGCCAGUGCCCUGGACUCUCUGGGACUAGAUUUCUCCAGUGCCAACAUAAGGAAAGUAAAAC
rnacentral:lncRNA from 1 species